AUAUUCCUGUACCAGUGCACAAUGCGAUCUGGGGACGGAGAAACGUAGCAACUACGUACUGACGGAUAUGUACGUUGAGCCGAGCCUUCGGGCAAAGCGAAGUUGUAAAGUAGCUUCCGAGAAAAGCCAGUAGGCUUCAGUUGUGUACUGCCCGUACCGCAAACCGACACAGGUAGUCGAGGAGAGAAUCCUAAGGUGCUUGAGUGAUCCAUGGCUAAGGAACUCGGCAAAUUAACCCUGUAACUUCGGAAGAAAGGGUGCCCCCUCUAGGGGGGGCCGCAGUAAAGAGGCCCAGGCGACUGUUUAACAAAAACACAUGGCUUUGCUAAAUCGAAAGAUGAUGUAUAAGGCCUGACACCUGCCCGGUGCUGGAAGGUUAAAAGGAGAUGUCAUUCGCAAGAAGAAGCAUUGAAUUGAAGCCCCAGUAAACGGCGGCCGUAACAAUAACGGUCCUAAGGUAGCGAAAUUCCUUGUCGGGUAAGUUCCGACCUGCACGAAUGGUGUAACGAUCUGGGCGCUGUCUCAGCCAUGAGCUCAGUGAAAUUGUAGUAGCGGUGAAGAUGCCGCUUACCCGCAACGGGACGGAAAGACCCCGUGCACCUUCACUACAACUUAACAUUGAUUCUGGAUAAAUGAUGUGUAGGAUAGGUGGGAGACUUUGAAGCGGUGGCGCUAGCCAUCGUGGAGUCAACCUUGAAAUACCACCCUUUAUUUAUUUGGAAUCUAAUCCCGAAAAACGGGAGACAUUGUUUGGUGGGUAGUUUGACUGGGGUGGUCGCCUCCAAAAGAGUAACGGAGGCUUUCAAAGGUACCCUCAGCACGCUUGGUAACCGUGCGUAGAGUGCAUUAGCAUAAGGGUGCUUGACUGUGAGACCGACAAGUCGAGCAGGUACGAAAGUAGGAUAAAGUGAUCCGGUGGUUCCGCAUGGAAGGGCCAUCGCUCAUAGGAUAAAAGGUACGCCGGGAUAACAGGCUGAUCUCCCCCAAGAGCUCACAUCGACGGGGAGGUUUGGCACCUCGAUGUCGGCCCGUCACAUCCUGGGGCUGGAGAAGGUCCCAAGGGUUUGGCUGUUCGCCGAUUAAAGUGGCACGCGAGCUGGGUUCAGAACGUCGUGAGACAGUUCGGUCCCUAUCUGUUGUGGGCGUUAGAAGUUUGAGAGGGCCUGACUCUAGUACGAGAGGACCGAGUCGGACGAACCUCUAGUGUACCUGUUAUGGCGCCAGCUGUAGCGCAGGGUAGCUAUGUUCGGUUAAGAUAAGCGCUGAAAGCAUCUAAGCACGAAACUUGCCUCAAGAUGAGACUUCUUUAUAAGGGUCGUCAGAGACUAUGACGUUGAUAGGCUACAGAUGUAAAGGUGGUAACACCAUAGUCGAGUAGUACUAAUUACUC
rnacentral:rRNA from 1 species